AAACGGCUGCUAAUACCGUAUACGUUUUAAGGACCGCAUGGUCCUUAAAACAAAACUCCGGUGGUACGGGAUGGGCCCGCGUCUGAUUAGCUCGUUGGCGGGGUAACGGCCCACCAAGGCGACGAUCAGUAGCCGGCCUGAGAGGGCGGCCGGCCACAUUGGGACUGAGACACGGCCCAGACUCCUGCGGGAGGCAGCAGUGGAGAAUAAAAACACAAUGGGGGAAACCCUGAUGCAGCGACGCCGCGUGAGCGAGGAAGUACCUCGGUACCUAAAGCUCUGUCAGCAGGGAAGAAAAUG
rnacentral:rRNA from 1 species